AACCGGAAACGGUUGCUAAUACCGCAUAAUGCAGCGGCACCUAAUGGUGACAGUUGUUAAAGCGGGGGAUCGCAAGACCUCGCGUCUGAAGAGGAGCCUGCGGCAGAUUAGCUAGUUGGUAAGGUAACGGCUUACCAAGGCGAUGAUCUGUAGCCGGCCUGAGAGGGCGGUCGGCCACACUGACACUGACAUACGGGUCAGACUCCUACGGGAGGCAGCAGUCGGGAAUUUUGGGCAAUGGGCGAAAGCCUGACCCAGCAACGCCGCGUGAAGGAUGAAAUCCCUCGGGAUGUAAACUUCGCAAGAACAGGAAGAAUAAGUGAGAGUUAAUAUCUCUUACGAUGACGGUACUGUUUGUAAGCUCCGGCUAACUCCGUGCCAGCAGCCGCGGUAAUACGGGGGGAGCAAGCGUUGUUCGGAUUUACUGGGCGUAAAGGGCGCGUAGGCGGCCACCGCAAGUCGACUGUGAAAUCUCCGGGCUUAACUCGGAAAGGUCAGCCGAUACUGCGGGGCUAGAGUGCAGAAGGGGCAACUGGAAUUCUCGGUGUAGCGGUGAAAUGCGUAGAUAUCGAGAGGAACACCUGCGGCGAAGGCGGGUUGCUGGGCUGACACUGACGCUGAUGUGCGAAAGCUAGGGGAGCGAACGGGAUUAGAUACCCCGGUAGUCCUAGCCUUAAACGAUGAAUGCUUGGUGUCUGGGGUUUUAUAGUCCCCGGGUGCCGUCGCUAACGCUUUAAGCAUUCCGCCUGGGGAGUACGGUCGCAAGACUGAAACUCAAAGGAAUUGACGGGGGCCCGCACAAGCGGUGGAGCAUGUGGUUCAAUUCGAAGCAACGCGCAGAACCUUACCAACCUUUGACAUGUCCCGUAUGAGCACCAGAGAUGGAGCUCUUCAGUUCGGCUGGCGGGAACACAGGUGCUGCAUGGCUGUCGUCAGCUCGUGUCGUGAGAUGUUGGGUUAAGUCCCGCAACGAGCGCAACCCUCGCCCUUAGUUGCCAUCAUUCAGUUGGGCACUCUAGGGGGACUGCCGGUGAUAAGCCGCGAGGAAGGUGGGGAUGACGUCAAGUCCUCAUGGCCCUUACAGGUUGGGCUACACACGUGCUACAAUGGCGGUGACAAUGGGAUGCAAUGGUGCAAGCCUGCGCAAAUCUCAAAAAGCCGUCUCAGUUCGGAUUGGGGUCUGCAACUCGACCCCAUGAAGUCGGAAUCGCUAGUAAUCGUGGAUCAGCAUGCCACGGUGAUCUAACCCGGCGGUGUACA
rnacentral:rRNA from 1 species